UAAGCAGUUUCAAUUUUAUAGUACAUCUAUAUGUUCUUUUGUUAUGUUAAUUUCUAUUACAUUUAAUUUCUGGUCGCGUGAUAUUUUACCACGUGCGACUUGUUAACAAUUAUCUGAAAGGGAAUGUGUAUUUAUUCAUAAAAAAUGUGAAUUGAAAAGAUUUUUAACCAAAAUAAAUACAUUAGUAUUUUUCAAUAAAUAAAUGUAGUUGUAGUUUUG
rnacentral:lncRNA from 1 species